rnacentral:rRNA from 1 species
UGCCAGCCGCCGCGGUAAUACGGAGGGUGCGAGCGUUAAUCGGAAUUACUGGGCGUAAAGCGCGCGUAGGCGGCGAGAUAAGUCAGAUGUGAAAGCCCCGGGCUUAACCUGGGAAUGGCAUUUGAUACUGUUUAGCUAGAGUGUGACAGAGGAUCGAGGAAUUCCCGGUGUAGCGGUGAAAUGCGUAGAGAUCGGGAGGAACACCAAUGGCGAAGGCAACGGUCUGGGUCAACACUGACGCUGAGGAGCGAAAGCGUGGGUAGCAAACAGGAUUAGAUA